UACGAAGGGUGCAAGCGUUACUCGGAAUUACUGGGCGUAAAGCGUGCGUAGGUGGUGGUUUAAGUCUGCUGUGAAAGCCCUGGGCUCAACCUGGGAAUUGCAGUGGAUACUGGAUUACUAGAGUGUGGUAGAGGGAUGCGGAAUUUCUGGUGUAGCAGUGAAAUGCGUAGAGAUCAGAAGGAACAUCCGUGGCGAAGGCGGCAUCCUGGGCCAACACUGACACUGAGGCA
rnacentral:rRNA from 1 species